rnacentral:tRNA from 1 species
AAAGAAAUACUAUAAAAAAAGCUUCUAACUUUUUAAAAAGCAUGUUGAUGUUUAUAUUUCUUUCCAAU